rnacentral:rRNA from 1 species
UACGAAGGGGGCUAGCGUUACUCGGAAUGACUGGGGCGUAAAGGGCGCGUAGGCGGUUUUGUUUAGUUAGGCGUGGAAAUUCCUGGGCUCGAACCUGGGGGCUGCGCUUAAUACAGGCAGACUAGAAGUGUGAAAGAGGGUCGUGGAAUUUCCAGUGUAGAGGUGAAAUUCGUAGAUAUUGGAAAAGAACGACCGGUGGCGAAGGCGGCGACCUGGUUCAUUACUGACGCUGAGGCGCGAAAGCGUGGGGAGCAAACAGG